GCUGGGCAUUGGGGACGCAUGCCUGUAAUCCAGCAGCUCAGGAGGCUGAGGCAGGAGGAUUAUAAAUUUGAGGCCAGCUUCAGCAAUUUAGCAAAACUCUGUCUCAA
rnacentral:sRNA from 1 species